CCCGGAGGGGCGGCUCCUUGGCCAGGGAAGGAGGCGGGAUCUGCUUGCCAGCGGGCGUCUCCGCUUAGCGCUCUCUCCAGAAACCGCUGGGCAGUCUCCUGGGUGAGCGCCAGACGCCUGGGGUCCGUUUGCCGCCUGCUGAGACUAGACAAGGACCCCGGGAGGGCGACGUUGGGGGAGAGGGCUACGGAUGGAGGUCCCGCCGCGCUUGGGCCGGGUCCGGAGCCACCAGGACGCACAGCGGCCAUAAAGGUGACUGAAGCUCAAAAAUAAAGGACCUAAGUGGUUUAAAAAAUGUCAUAUGGCAUGUCAGAGCAUCUGUCCUGGUCAGCUGGUAGUGGUUGCCUGGAGGAUUGUGUUGGGAUAGGACUAUGAAGUCCAAUCUGAGUCUCAUGGGAUGAAAGUCAUGUUGUGAUUGAUUGAAGAUGUCUGCUUAGUAUGCUACAAUGGAACCAUACCAAGGGAGUAUUUAAUGUUUGCAAAUUCACAUUUUUGUGCUCUGCUAAGGAACAGAUUGGUGGAUAGGAAGGAUCUGAGAAACAGAAAUCAAGAUUGUGUGAAUGGCAGCUUGGAAAUGAAAAAGAGAACAAAUGAAUGAGCAAUUAAAAUAUUGCAGACUCUUCCGAUUGCCAUUUCAUGCAAUGAAUACAUGCCUCUAAGUGAGUGUGAGAACCUUGAUAGAAUUUCCUGUUCUCUCAGUCAGGAGCAUAUCUCCAUACAGAGUAUGAUUCUAGGCUUUAAAGCUACUUUUCUUUUCUUUCUUUCUUUCUUUUUUUCCAAUGCAACAUGUCCCAGAAGCAAGCUACCUACAUUAGUUUGCAGUGUUCAAUUAGGGUGGGGGAAACACAGUAUGUUUCAAUAGGGGAGGCAAAUUUGGCAAUAUUGAAUGUUUUAAAACAUGUUUAUUAGGUUUUCAUAUGCAGUUUUCCUCAAGGCAAUUUUGACUUGAUGCACUUUCAUCUAUAUUAUGUACUUACAAACCACCCCCUUGAAAGGUGUAUCUCUACGGUACAUCAUAAAUGUGAUAUCCUCUAACAAGCCCAAGGUAACAUCAGGCAUUAAAUACUCAACGUUAACUUUAAUUAGUACCCUCACCUGCAAGAGUGCAAGUGAUUGAAGAUUGCAGCAAAUGCUUAUCCCAUUCCUUUAAGUCCCCAGAAUGACUGUCUAGACCAAUGUCCUUACUCAUUCCUUAUUCUUCUGAGGCUUUGCUAACUGGAGUACAGGAGCAGUCAGCAGGCCCAGAGGUAUGUUUUACCUUUCUGAUAACUUUAUUGGAUGAUCAAACCACUGGUUUACCUUGGCCAUUUGAAUGUCUGUACUAAGUGCUCACUCUGCUAGCCACCCUACAGAAAGAAAGGGAUCAGGCCAAUAGGAGUUCAAACAAUGACCCAUAACUCUAGCAUUAUAAGCUCAGGCCCUAAACUAGGGUCAUUCUCAGUCUAGGUCUAGUUGUCAGCUCAUAACUAUACUAGUCACAACUUAUGCGUUCAUGUGUUAUACCUGCCUGUUUUUGCUUCUAAGGGGAUUUUGUUAUCAAACAAAGAUGGAACAUGGACACAGGCAGAUAAGAAUUCUAAAUAUAAUCCCUUUCUUGCCUUCAGAAAUUUCUGUAAAGCCUUUGAAGAAUGCAAAAGUGGCUUAUUUUGAGUAAAAACUGGAAUAUUAAUCAGGAAUUAGAUACCUGGCUUGUAUUUCAGAUUCUGCCUUGGAUUGCUGGUCAUAUUCAACACCUUCUUUAUCUGCGGCAUAAAGAGACUACUGUGUCUGUCUUUUUUGGCACAAAAGUGAUGAAGAUAAAUGAUAUAUUGUGCUUCAGUAUAAUUCCUUUGUUAAUUAUAAUAUUAUAUAAACAUUGUGAUAAUAAACAUUUUGCUCUACCAUAAUUAUUAUCUGUGGGUUUAUGACAGAUAAGCUUAUUUUCCUCAAUUCGUUUUAAUUUAACAGCAGACACCCCUUUCUUCUUAAAGCCUAUAACUAUCUGCUAAGCACAUCCUUUCAAAUUAUUGGUUGGGUAAGAAAGAAAAUUCAGUGCUCUUGCUGUAUAUUAACUUGAUAAUAUGGCACAAAUAAUCUUUGUGUUAUAAAUAGUUCCCUUUUAUACCAGAUGCAACUAGAAAGUCAAAGAAAAUAAUGUUGUAGAUGAAGAGAGGCAUUAUUUCUAUUUUCUGGAAUGAGCACAGUGCUGCCAGUGUUCAACAUUUUUUUCCCCUUUCAUGACUUCCACUGACACUGACUCAUUGUGCAGCCUUGGUGAUUUUCCGUAAGAGGCUUGCCAACAAUUGAAGGACCAUAUUUUUCUGGGGGCAAAGAGAAAUGAUGGCUGUUUUUUACAACCUGAAAAUUCAAUAAUUUCUAAAUUUGUUUUUCAGAAAGUUAAUGCUGUAGAACGAAGUAAACGUCUUUCUAAAAUUUUAACUUUUUUGGGGGGGGAUGGG
rnacentral:lncRNA from 1 species